AUACCGUGCACAGCAGGCAAACCCCCUUGUUAUUUAAAUAUCUACGAUUAUAGUUAAAAGUUAUAGUGUGUAUUAUACUAGUGUUGGCUUACAUCUAUUGAAUUAUUCUAACCUAAACGCUACGCUAUACUAUACAUACCUACAUGCAAAGAAAGUACGGAAGUGUACUUUAGCACCGAGAUUAGUGAUUAUCGAACCAUAUCGGCU